GUCAAACUGAUUUUCUGCAAAACAAAUUAGAAUUACAAACGUCCGCCACGCAGGCCCUUGCGGCGACCUCCGCCUGCCUCGCGCAGCAAGCUGUCAUUCCUCUAUAGUACGGUGCGGAACCCGAAAGGUGUCGGCCGCAGCGAGCUACCUUUAAAAUGUAUUCUAUGUUUUUCCUCUUUCAAAGAUCACUCUGUGUUUCAUUGCUCUUUUAAUAUUCUUCCAUCU
ensembl:ncRNA C02D4.11 ncRNA